GGGAGCCUGGCAAUCCUGUUUAAAGGGGCAGUGUGGCAGAUGGACUGCUCAGGCUGAGGGCUAAGUGGUAUGGAGUUCAGAGUCCCUGCACUGACCGACGCACCCCAGAGUGGCUGCUGUCCUACUGGAAGAUGAUAAUUUGCUGGGAAAGCUCCUCGCACCACCAGAGGUCCCUGGCUCCUGAUUUCUAUAACAGCAGCCGUGAGAGGAAAGAGGACUAAGAAGACGUGAUGGAAGAGAAGGACACCAGCAGACCCUGGAGAAGACAGUGCACGGGAAGGAAAGGGCCCGCACCGUGGGACCAGCUGUGCACCCCAGCCCUCAGCUCCCAGCAGACGUGGUGCUCCUGGGGUCUUGGAGGCCAAAUGCACAGGAGCCACGGCAGACUGGAAAUUCUACAGGAAGGAAGAAAAUAGGAGCGUGGUCCCCAGGGCUGGCUGACACACCCAGGGAGAAGCAGAUGCUCCUGAGAACCACGAUGCACCACUCUUCAGGAGCUGCACCCCAUUUUACCGACUGUCCCGAAUUAUCCCCAACAGUUUCCAGAACUUUCUUCACCAGCUCUGCUUUUAUCCAUGAAGUACUCUCUGUGUGACCCUCUCCUCCUCGUUGAUAGAUAGAGGCGCCCUCCCCCCAUUCUGGCUGCCGAUGGUUUGGUUUGGAUUUGACACCAGGGUGCGGUUUCACUUAAAACACACGACCACGGCUUCCUCAAAUCCAGUUCUCAAAUUCACAGGGAGGAACCUGACUGGGCGGCUCCCUGUCCAAAGGCCAGGCCCCGGGUGAAGAGAGCUCUGGGAUCCAUGGUCUCAUAUUCUGAGAGGGGGCCGGCCUCAUUUCAGGUGAAGGAGCUCGGGUGAAAUGGGGCCAUUACAAAAGAUAAAAAUGAAAAUCAAACCAACUAUUUCAAGAGCAACCCUCACCCCCACACGAACCCUUGGGAAUAGUUGAAAACCCGCAGAACAGAGCCAUUAGGCCUGUGACAGAAUGCGAUGGAGUGAUCAGGGCGAGGCCCACCCUGCAGGGGCUGCAGAAGGGACUGUCUGGCGUGGGAGUGGACACGGGGAUCCCAGCACACACAUCUCGACUGCUGACAGGUGUCUACCUAGGCCCCAGGCGACCCUGGAGGACAGGAGGAGGACUGUGACCCCCUUUCCCCAAGCAGGGCUUUCCUGCCCAAUAGCUCACUGCCAGGCCAGCUCCAGGGAAGCUGCAGGGACACUGGCCAGAACAAAUUUGUCCCCCAAUUCUUGCCAGAACUUAACCAAGCCCUGGUCACAGCUGAGGUGCAUGCAUCAUGUAGGCACCACGACUUUUGUUAGUGUCACUGUUAGGUCCCUGAGCUGGACCCCCACCCAAACAGGACAGCCUCACCAGCGUCACACCUUACCUGCAGGAAACCCUCUGCACCCCAGAACCCUGGUACAGGGAGCCCACAGCAAGCAUUCUGCGCUCCUCGCUAAGCAGCAAAACCCACCAAUGCCACCCUGCUGCACCCACCCUGGCAUCACUUUCUCCUGGAAAGCACUAAAAUGUUUACCUCUCUCAGCAGCACCCUCCUCCCCGCCCUAAACUCCCCUAUAUAAGGUCCGCCCUGCUCAGGACCAGUGCUCUUUUCGGCCUUGGUCUGGCUGCACCGGUCUGCAAUGAAGUUACCGCUGUUUGCUCCGACCUCGCCUGCCCUGGUGGUCUCCUCGUGCCCCGGUGGGCCUGACAUCCACACCACGUCAAAGCCCCCAGGGCCUUCCUCUGCUGGCUCAGACCUUGUUAGACCUCAAGAAUGCUGAGCAAGCCCGGAGCUUCCCAGAGCCCUUGGGCCUGUCAAUAAAAGGUGCCUCCCCCUGGGCGGCUGCGCUGCAGCCAGGCCAGGCCAGGGCUGCGCCCCUCACUGGCAAAGCCCAGCUGGGCCAGAAGCAGUUCAGAGGGGAGGCGGCGCUCGGCUCUCAGGAGGCUGCUGACUAUCGCAGUGCUGCAGGUGGGGACAGGAAGCCCGGCCACUGCUGGGACGCUUGCCCUUUCCUGUUGGCCAGUAGAGGUACACAGUUGGUGGGAGGCGAUCUAAACAGCAGCGGCCUGGAAGCCAAACAGAACUGGCGCAAGCAGCAUUUCAUUUUUGGGUUGGGUUGGAAGUCAAGUAGAUGCAGAGUCAUGAGUUCCGGUCAUCACUGUUCAGACCAACCUCUUCUGCAAGCAAAUAGUAAUGUAGCCCAAAGCCAGAAUGGCGCCAGGCCCACCCCAGCAGUCCCACCCGGCCCCGCCCAGAAGCGGCCCUCCCAGAGGGGAGUUGCUGUCUUGCGCUCUGACCCCUCAGGUGCCUCUUCUGGAACCUGAUGGAAAUAGCCGCCUGGGACGUGCAGUCCUUGCUCAACGGCUACGCUUCCAAUCUGACACCCCCCAGUGCGUCCACUGUACCGUCCAUGGCAUUCACAUGGUUCGACUUGCUUGUUAAUCUUCUCUUUUUCUUGUUUCAAAGUCACUGUAAAACACGCUCCCAUUUUCCAGACUCGAGAGCCCACUCGGGUCUCAGCAGCCACGCUUCACCUUCUCCCUCCACUGCCCGUGACACAGCCUGCCCGGAAGCAGCCCUCCGAUGGACCUCAGACACUCGGGUUCCCAGAGCCUGCACUGGGAGGACCCGCCCUCCUCCUGCCCAGCUCAGCUCUCCCCCGAGCCGCCCUUGCCAGGGCUGGAGUGGCCACCUGCCGCCUUCUCAGCCUUCUUGCCCCCAGCAGCUAUUCCAUGAGGAAAUGGAAGGCCGGAGCCCGGGGCCUGGGGCUCCUCCCUGCCUGCACUCUGUCAUGGCACGGAUAGAGCCUGCUUCUCUCCAAGGCCUGCCGGAGCCCGUGCAUCCACCUUCUCCAGGACUGUUCCCUUCAGUCUUCCUCUUCCAUCCAGAAGUGUCUAUUGCCCCCUUGCUAGGACACCUCCCCCACAUGCUGCUAACUGAGUCAAUUUCCUUCCCUUCUGGGGACCCAUACCUGCUCCCCUCACCACAGCAGCCACUGAGCUGAGCUCAGGGGAGUUUUGCCAAGCGCACGCGAGCCUGCCUGGACCCUUCCCUAAGGGUCAGCUCUCUGCUGAGGUGUCUUCCGGCUUCCCUAACUGCCUAUUACCAGAAUGAAGCGCAAAAACACCCUGGAGCCGAGGCCACGGCGGUCAGUGGGAGACGGGAGCUGCAGGGGCACAGCCACAGCCCGCAGCCGUCAGGUCAGCCAGGCAGGACACAGGACGUGCGUCAGUUAGGAAACAGAAAAGCUGAAAGUAGGACAACACAGAGCUGAGAGGCCCAGAGAGGGCGGCCGGGCGGGACCCCGGGAGGAGCCGGCCAGUCCACGCCCCCCCAUCUUCCCUCCUGGGGACACUGGGCUCUCUGGCUGGCUGGGGCAAGGAGGUAGUCGUCCGGGUUGCCUUCCCAAGGGACGGGGCUUGGGGCAGAUGGAGACCCUCAGGCCAGGGCCUUCCCUGGGAACAGCCCUGAAGGGGAACGUGUGAAGUCAGAGAGGCAGGUGACAGCCCAGUGCCACCAGGGACAGGAGAGGCCAAGUCUCAUCAGUGACAUUGCAGUGGAGACCAGGAAGGAAGCCUGGGGACCUGUGACAUUCCUCCAGCCCAGUCCCUUCCCCUGCUGUGUCCUCUUUUUGUAUGGCCCGGAGUCCGGCCAUCCUCACGAGGCAGGACGGGGUGCAGGAAGGCCAGGGACUGUGCGGGGGAAGGAGACGCCUGGGAGAAAAGAAGUGACCGGGCGGGCGGGAGAACGGCUGAGGCAGAAAGCAAACGGCCACCAAAAGCAAAUCCACGAUCAGAGACGGUAUUGCUGAGCUCAGAAACUGUCCUCAAGGAGCCCGCCAGAGCCUGGCUUCUUCCCUGCCAUCCCUUUAAAAUGGGGCACAGGCACAGGGAAGAGACUGACGCCCCCAGCCGGGUCACGCCCUAGUCACAGGGACAGCCCAGGACUGCAGACAAAAAGAGGCUGCCCGCGCCUCGGCGGAGGCCCUGGACAGGCAGGGAAGGUGGUGGCCCGGCCCACCUAUGCCACCUGCAACAGAGACCGGCUCCGUGCCACGCGGGAGACUGCCAGGGGCAUGGUUUCUCUUAUAUGAGAAACUCAAAGUACACGGGCAGGAAAGCAAAUUAGAAGAUAGAGAAGCAGGAAGUGGGGAGCAGCUCGGCGGAUUCCCAACUGUCUGUUCCGUGGUUUCCAAGAUAAGUCGGUGCGUGCGCUACCCUGCUCCAUUUACAAGCUCCCUUGUCCUCGCCGAGGGGGAAGGAGGAAGGUUUGUGCACCGACGCGGUGUGGUCACUAUUGGUAUUCUUUCAUCUGUUAGGAUAUUUUGCUUCAUUGUGUCAUCCAAGCAAGAUGAGCACUUUAAAAAAAUAUUUCAUUAUUAACUA